rnacentral:rRNA from 1 species
AUGAACGCUAGCUACAGGCUUAACACAUGCAAGUCGAGGGGCAGCAUUUUAGUUUGCUUGCAAACUGAAGAUGGCGACCGGCGCACGGGUGAGCAACACGUAUCCAACCUGCCGAUAACUCCGGGAUAGCCUUUCGAAAGAAAGAUUAAUACCGGAUAGCAUACGAAUAUCGCAUGAUAUUUUUAUUAAAGAAUUUCGGUUAUCGAUGGGGAUGCGUUCCAUUAGUUUGUUGGCGGGGUAACGGCCCACCAAGACUACGAUGGAUAGGGGUUCUGAGAGGAAGGUCCCCCACAUUGGAACUGAGACACGGUCCAAACUCCUACGGGAGGCAGCAGUGAGGAAUAUUGGUCAAUGGGCGCGAGCCUGAACCAGCCAAGUAGCGUGAAGGAUGAAGGCUCUAUGGGUCGUAAACUUCUUUUAUAUGGGAAUAAAGUUUUCCACGUGUGGAAUUUUGUAUGUACCAUAUGAAUAAGGAUCGGCUAACUCCGUGCCAGCAGCCGCGGUAAUACGGAGGAUCCGAGCGUUAUCCGGAUUUAUUGGGUUUAAAGGGAGCGUAGGUGGAUUGUUAAGUCAGUUGUGAAAGUUUGCGGCUCAACCGUAAAAUUGCAGUUGAAACUGGCAGUCUUGAGUACAGUAGAGGUGGGCGGAAUUCGUGGUGUAGCGGUGAAAUGCUUAGAUAUCACGAAGAACUCCGAUUGCGAAGGCAGCUCACUAGACUGUCACUGACACUGAUGCUCGAAAGUGUGGGUAUCAAACAGGAUUAGAUACCCCUGGUAGUCCACACAGUAAACGAUGAAUACUCGCUGUUUGCGAUAUACAGUAAGCGGCCAAGCGAAAGCAUUAAGUAUUCCACCUGGGGAGUACGCCGGCAACGGUGAAACUCAAAGGAAUUGACGGGGGCCCGCACAAGCGGAGGAACAUGUGGUUUAAUUCGAUGAUACGCGAGGAACCUUACCCGGGCUUAAAUUGCAACAGAAUAUAUUGGAAACAGUAUAGCCGUAAGGCUGUUGUGAAGGUGCUGCAUGGUUGUCGUCAGCUCGUGCCGUGAGGUGUCGGCUUAAGUGCCAUAACGAGCGCAACCCUUAUCUUUAGUUACUAACAGGUCAUGCUGAGGACUCUAGAGAGACUGCCGUCGUAAGAUGUGAGGAAGGUGGGGAUGACGUCAAAUCAGCACGGCCCUUACGUCCGGGGCUACACACGUGUUACAAUGGGGGGUACAGAAGGCGGCUACCUGGUGACAGGAUGCUAAUCCCAAAAACCUCUCUCAGUUCGGAUCGAAGUCUGCAACCCGACUUCGUGAAGCUGGAUUCGCUAGUAAUCGCGCAUCAGCCAUGGCGCGGUGAAUACGUUCCCGGGCCUUGUACACACCGCCCGUCAAGCCAUGAAAGCCGGGGGUACCUGAAGUACGUAACCGCAAGGAGCGUCCUAGGGUAAAACUGGUAAUUGGGGC